rnacentral:rRNA from 1 species
UGGCGGACGGGUGAGUAAUGUCUGGGAAACUGCCCGAUGGAGGGGGAUAACUACUGGAAACGGUAGCUAAUACCGCAUAACGUCGCAAGACCAAAGAGGGGACCUUCGGGCCUCGCGCCAUCAGAUGAACCCAUAUGGGAUUAGCUUGUAGGUAAGGUAACGGCUUACCUAGGCGACGAUCCCUAGCUGGUCUGAGAGGAUGAUCAGCCACACUGGGACUGAGACACGGUCCAG